rnacentral:lncRNA from 14 species
GCACUGGAAGUGCAGGCCUGUCACCGCCUUGCCGUGCAUGGCUGGGACCCGGCACGGGGCUGGGCCACCUUCGCCCUGCAGCAUCACUAUGCCAGCAACACCUCGCUGGCCGUGCCCAUCCGCAUCAAUGCCAGCGCCGAGGAUGCUGCCAUCACCCUCCAGUGGAGCCCGUCCCCCCGUGCCACAUGUCCUGGGGUAUUGGCCAAGUACCUCAUCUGCCAUGCAGCUGAGGGGGACAACGUGACCUGUGAGUGGGAAUCCCCCCCCAGCCCCAUAGGGUGGGAGGAGGCUCUGCCUGUAACCUGCACACACUUACUCCCUGCUCACCAUCACUCACCCAGACAGUGAAGCAGAUGUCACAGCAUCACACUACACCCUCCGGCACCUACAGCCCGACACAGCCUACAGGGUGAGCGUUCAGGAGGUGACAGCAGGGAGCAAAGGGACCUGUGGUGUUUGGUGGCACUUCCAGACCAAGGCACUGGGUAACGACUGGAGGCCCUGUCCCCUCCCCAGUCCCCAUGGGGUGCUCACCCUCAUCCCAAAACAGCUCCCGUGUCCCAUGCAGGGUGCUGGGGACAGAAAUGCCACCACCCCCUGUCCUCAUCUCCAGGUGCCCAAGGAGCAGAAUGGAAAUCCAACCUCAAGUACUUGGGCAUCUCACUCGGGGUCCCUGCCGUGGCUGCCAUCUACCAGCUGAACAAGAAGAGGGUUCGGCGCCUCCUCUUCCCACCCCUUCCCAAGCCCACGAGCAGCAAAGCCAUCCAGCUGUGCAGCGGUGAAAGGAGCCAGGGCCAGCCCUGGCCAGGCUUUGUGGAGCCCUCGGAGAGGUUCAGCCCUGCUGAGCUGCUGCUGACAGAGCUGAACCCCAGCAAGGAGGUCCCUGAUGGCAGCACAGAGCCCAGUGAGCCACAGCCUGGCCCCAUGGCUGAGGAACCGGUGGUCGUGGGCCCACUGGGCUGGGAGAAGGAGCUGCACUUUGCCUACCGCAGGCAGGAGGUGCUGAGCCCGGCAGGAUUCCCAGUGCCAGGCCACCCAUCCGAGGAGGAGGAGAAGGAAGAGGAGGGAAGUGGGGAGCUCGGCCAGGCUCUGGUCCCCAUUGCCCUGCUCAUCUCCGACAAACCCAUCAUCAUCAGGGACCCAUCGCUGGAGAAGGUGGUGCCAUAACCAUCACCAGGGAUGGAUGGCAGAGGGGUUUCCCAUGGGAUGCUGAGCACCCACCCCAUGGGGUCAUGGUCACAGCAUCACUCUGGGGGGGGUGUCUGGUUUUCAGGACAUGAAGGUGAUGCUUCCGGAUGCAGCACUGCAUGAGGCCAGGGGCUGGCCAUGUACCUCCCAUUGCUGGGAUGGAAAGUCCAGUCUGGGAUGAGGAUAUUCCUUUGGCAGGAUCAGGAUAAGAGGCAGAGCUUGCUCCUGCCCUCCUGCCCCAGCCAGGACCAGCAUCACCCGGCAGGAUGGGGCUCAAACACUGAACACCAUCCACUUGCAAAACCUAAAACCUGUAAGGAAGAAAUGGGGAAAUAACAUAAAUAAAAGACAUGCAGGAAGCA